GAUAAAGUUUUUUAAAAAAAAUGAGAAAAAAUGCUGGAUCGGAUGGUCAUGAAUCUGUACAAUACAGAAAAAAAAAGUAAAGAAAUUUCCAUAGAUACUGUGAUCUAAAGGACAAAACUAAAAGCAGAUAAUGAUCAUAAAGAAUUUUAAUAAAAGUCUGGGGAAGAAUGAGGAUAUAUGGAGAUAGUUGAGGAAGAAAUAGUCAAUGAGACUAAAAAUAUAUAUGAAGUCUUACAAGAGCACAAUUGAAUUUCAGGAAUAUCUAAUACAAGAAGCAAAUAUUUCUGGAGGAUUGCCAAAAGAGAAGAUAGACUCAGCUGCAAUAACUGAAGGAAAGGAGGAGGAUGAAGCCACAGAGUCUAAGCAGGGCAACAGAGGAGGACAAGCUGCAGCAAGAGAAUUCUUAUUUAAAAUUGUUCCAUGAAGAAAGUAUGUCUUGGAUUAUAUCCACUCAACCCCAGAAGACAGAGCUGCAUACGACACACAUUUUCAUUAGCUUCAGGUACUCAGUGCUCAUUUGCUGAAGAACAAAGUACACAGUACCAAGGAACAGAAAUCGAGAGUGCAUGAAAGAACUGCAGCCCACAAGUUGUGUAAAUGAAGAAGACAACUGCAAUUAAAAUUCUGUCCCUACUGCCAAAACAGAGUGAGAAGAGGGCGCUUUGUGGUCUUGUGGAAGUAAAAACAGAAGAGAAUGCAGCUUGAUGAGUACACACAGGUCAAAAUGCCACCGUCACCUCUGCCAGCACAAUGGAGCAGUGAAGGUCAUCAAGCACCAGGAGGUGGCUGAGUAGAGUCCGGCCAGAGGCGUGGCAGUUGAGGAAGAGCAUCCCGGUAGUUUUACAGCAGGAGCAAUGACCCUUGCUUUGUUUCUGCAGGUA